CCUAACACAUGCAAGUCGAACGGGAAGCGGUGCAUAUUGCUUCGGCGAUAAUGUGCCGUGGAGAGUGGCGAACGGGUGCGUAACACGUAGGUAACCUGCCCUGAAAGGGGGGAUAACCACGGGAAACUGUGGCUAAUACCGUAUAAUCUCGCCGUGGCGGUGGUUACGGUGAGGAAAGCUGAGGCGAUUUGGGAGGGGCCUGCGGUCGAUUAGCUGGUUGGUGGGGUAAAGGCCCACCAAGGCGAUGAUCGAUAGCUGUUCUGAGAGGAAGACCAGCCACACGGGAACUGAGACACGGUUCCGACUCCUACGGGGGGCAGCAGUGAGGAAUAUUGCGCAAUGGGGGGAACCCUGACGCAGCAACGCCGCGUGGAGGACGAAGGUUUUCGGAUUGUAAACUCCUUAACUGGGGGAAGAGAGAGGACGGUACCCCAGGACGAAGACACGGCUAA
rnacentral:rRNA from 1 species